rnacentral:rRNA from 1 species
UACGGAGGGUGCAAGCGUUAAUCGGAAUUACUGGGCGUAAAGCGCACGUAGGUGGCUUGCUAAGUCAGCUGUGAAAUCCCCGGGCUUAACCUGGGCACUGCAGUUGAAACUGGCAAGCUAGAGUAGGGUAGAGGGGUGUGGAAUUCCAGGUGUAGCGGUGAAAUGCGUAGAUAUCUGGAGGAACAUCAGUGGCGAAGGCGACGCCCUGGACUGAUACUGACACUGAGGUGCGAAAGCGUGGGGAGCAAACAGG